rnacentral:rRNA from 1 species
AUGCUGUCGUGUGGUGGCCGGCCGUCUCACUCCAAUGCACCUCCCUCUUUGUGUACUGGUCCCUCUGGCAGCCGUCCAAGUGGAGCGUUGACACCAGUACAAGUAGAAUUGUGGGUCGCGGCCACCAACUUCACCAAGCGUUGCACAUCCGUCCAAGUCGAGCACACACACCGGGAGAACACCAGCGCCUUUGCUUUGCACAUUGCUUGGUCAUGCAUGAUUGCUGAUGGAUGCAGCAAGCGUUUUAUUAGUUUGAUCUUCUGCAUUUUGUCUCAGUUUUCAUGGAUGCUAGCGGGCAAGUGA